CGAGACUUUAGUCAUAGAGUUCU
rnacentral:snRNA from 1 species